rnacentral:rRNA from 1 species
UUAAGUCUGAUGUGCCGCCCACGGCUCACCGUGGAAGGGUCAUUGGAAACUGGGGNACUUGAGUGCAGAAGAGGANAGUGGAAUUCCACGUGUAGCGGUGAAAUGCGUAGAGAUGUGGAGGAACACCAGUGGCGAAGGCGACUNUCUGGUCUGUAACUGACGCUGAGGCGCGAAAGCGUGGGGAGCNAACAGGAUUAGAUACCCUGGUAGUCCACGCCGUAAACGAUGAGUGCUAAGUGUUAGAGGGUUUCCGCCCUUUAGUGCUGCAGCUAACGCAUUAAGCACUCCGCCUGGGGAGUACGGCGCAAGACUGAAACUCAAGGGAAUUGACGGGA